rnacentral:rRNA from 1 species
CCUACGGGAGGCAGCAGUGGGGUAUUUUGGACAAUGGGCGAAAGCCUGAUCCACCCAUGCCGCGUGAGUGAAGAAGGCCUUCGGGUUGUAAAGCUCUUUUAGUCGGAAAGAAAGAGUCACAGUGAAUAGCUAUGAUUUAUGACGGUACCGACAGAAAAAGCACCGGCUAACUACGUGCCAGCAGCCGCGGUAAUACGUAGGGUGCGAGCGUUAAUCGGAAUUACUGGGCGUAAAGGGUGCGCAGGCGGUCUUGCAAGUCAGAUGUGAAAGCCCCGGGCUUGACCUGGGAAUUGCGUUUGAAACUACAAGGCUAGAGUGCAGCAGAGGGGAGUGGAAUUCCAUGUGUAGCAGUGAAAUGCGUAGAGAUGUGGAAGAACACCGAUGGCGAAGGCAGCUCCCUGGGUCGACACUGACGCUCAUGCACGAAAGCGUGGGGAGCAAACAGGAUUAGAUACCCUGGUAGUCCACGCCCUAAACGAUGUCAACUAGUUGUCGGAUCUAAUUACGGAUUUGGUAACGUAGCUAACGCGUGAAGUUGACCGCCUGGGGAGUACGGUCGCAAGAUUAAAACUCAAAGGAA